UUUUCCCUGGAGUCAGGAGCACUUCCCUGGUUUAACAUGGAAUUCCUUCUCUGAGUGAUACCCGGGAGGCGGCAGGGUCUGCUUCCGCUCCUCCCUUAUCACUGCACAUUGGUGACCGGGGCUUGCAGGGGACAGUGCAGUGACCAGCCCAGCAGCCGGUGGCCGAGCAGGCACCAGGUGGCGUGAUGACUCGUUGCUGACACGCCGUUUUCUCUUGCACAGGUUAUGUUUCAUAUCAGCGUGAGCAUCUUAUUCUUGAAGACUUUGGAACCGAUGAAACAAUCAUAGGUGUUGCCCUGGGACUUCUGCGCUUCUGUUUCCAGGUUGCUCGCAUCAUCGGUACACGGCUUUGCUGUGUCCCUUGUCCGUGAGCCAGCCUGCUAGUUCCUCCUCUGAUCUCAGCCUGGUGACGCUUGCCGGCUCUUGGCCAUAAGUGACUUCCUGAUAGAAAAGGACCCUCAGGCUUCAGUAUCCAGCGGAGUUGGCAGCUCUGUCAGAAACGGAACUGAGGUCACUUUGAGACUACCUGCAUUCUCUUCCUGGAAGGACACCCGGCAAUAGAUGUGAAACAAAACAAGAAGCAGCCUGCAGGACAGGAAGUCGCUGCACCAAAAUGGUUUUCGCCUGCAGGAUGUGCUCUUCCUCUCACAUGUCAAUUUUGGGAAAUAGAUUGAUUCAUUUUAUAACUUUG
rnacentral:lncRNA from 1 species